AUUAACAAUGGGAGGGAUUGUGACUGGUGGAUUAACAAUGGGAGGGAUUGUGACUGGUGGCUUAACAAUGGGAGGGAUUGUGACUGGUGGCUUAACAACGGGUACUGUGGGUGUCUUUGGUGUUUUACCAGGCUUGUGCUUUUUGGGGGGUUUGCCACAGUAGCCACAACCGAGAAUGGGAGUGGCGGAGGAGAGGAAGAGCAUGCAAAGGAAGAGGUAAGCAUAGAUCUUUGAGGACUCCAUGCUUACAAGUUACAAAGAGAGAGAAAGUAGUAAUUGUAAUAUAGUGGAGAUGCAGGUGGAGGAAGCUGGGGGAGG
rnacentral:lncRNA from 1 species